rnacentral:lncRNA from 1 species
AGGAAUUGUAAUGUAUCCAUUUUUGCAUUUUCUGCUCCAUAUCUAUUUCAGUGCCUGAAGCUCAGGAGGCAGUAAAUAAGCAAAUGAAUGACUCGCCUAAUUUUCAGCCUCCUGCCUGUCCUGCACUCCACCUACUGCUUGCUUUUUGGAAGCCCUAGGACUGCCUGCCCAUGCGGUGAACUUGGUCUAAAUUAUCUGGAUUCCCCGGGAAAAUUUGCAACUCUUGCUCAAAACCAAUUCUAAACCAUCAACCUAUUGGUCUAAAUGCAGAAGUAUUCUACAACAGGGUAAAAGAACUAUCCUGAGACUUCUGUCAACAUUUACCAGAUUGAAAACUCCUAAACAAUUUGGAUUUAUGCUUGUGGCUGACAUGGGAAACUUGAUGAGAAAACGUG